rnacentral:sRNA from 1 species
UUACAGUUUUCACCAAAACGCCUAACU